CGGGGGGGGGGGGGGGGUUAUUGCUUUCUCCGCUUCGUCGGCGACUGAUUUCGCGUGCCGUGGGGUUUUGCACUGCGGGGUUGCAUCAGCUCAACUACCUGUUCUAGAUCGACGUACCGCUCCAUCACCGCUGCCGCCGCCUCUGUUGCCGCUUGAGUAGUUCGUGAAUGCGGCGUUUGGUCAAUUGUUGCGAUUUGGAUGCAGGAGUUGUGGUCGAGGAUUUCGUUUCCGCCCGAUACUUCUCCUGGCGGCGCAUCCCCGUUGGCCACUAUAAACGAGCUAGUCUCUGGUGAUGGUUAGAUCUCGGAGUUUCCUUUUGGCAGAUUGAACAUGCUGGUCGAAGUCACCACUAUCGAGAUUCCACCCCAUGAUCGGUUCUUUAAUGAUACUCAGUGGUCGAGAAUUCUGGAGAUUGUGUUUGCUAUGUCCCAAGUAUUGCAUAUACGAUAGCCGGCCCUGACUCCAUCCAAAAGAUCGAAUCCUCCUCGUGAGGUGGAUCAGGGAAGAACAGAAUUACCCCAAGAGACCGACAGGAGCAUCUUGUUUUUUCUCGCAAGCCUCAACUCGAUCAUGGCGAUCAUCUGCAGCUCCUUGUCUUACAAUUUGGUUCUAAAAAUCCUGCCCUGCAAUUUCAGCUUCCCGUGCGAAAAUCCAUUACUUUCUCGUUUAAAAUGAGGAAGUUUCUCGCACUAAUUUUGCGUGCUGGUUGCGGCAGAUAGAGGCGGGAAGAAUUCUUCUGUGGGUGCUGUGCUGGAAACGACGCAUUACGUCAUGUCUUUGGUGAUCCUAGUGGACGGAAACGUGCUUUUCCUAUUGAGGCUCUUGACAUGUUGCUGACUGAUUGCGACGGUGUGACGAACGAGAUCAUUCGAAUGCAAAGCUCUAAAAUGUGCACAGCUCACGAGUGCGGUAAUGUUAGGGGAAUAGAACUUGUGCCAAUAAAAUCCUCGUAUCGAUACAAAUUAGCCAAUUUCAUUCAAAGCUUGGUCGUGUAAAUACAUCACAGAUGCAUUCUGGUAUGAAAUUAAUUGAUUUGUUGUUGAAAAGCCGUGAAGCCUCGUUGAUCGACCCUGAUGAAGGUUCUCCGAGGGAUGUUGACAGCAAUAA